GCCAGGUGAAUCAUCGAAUCUUUGAACGCACAUUGCGCCCGCCAGCAUUCUGGCGGGCAUGCCUGUUCGAGCGUCAUUUCAACCCUCGACCUCCCCUUGGGGAAGUCGGCGUUGGGGACCGGCAGUAUACCGCCGGCCCCGAAAUGGAGUGGCGGCCCGUCCGCGGCGACCUCUGCGUAGUAAUCCAACCUCGCACCGGAACCCCGACGUGGCCACGCCGUAAAACCCCCAACUUUCUGAACGUUGACCUCGGAUCAGGUAGGAAUACCCGCUGAACUUAAGCAUAUCAAUAAGCGGAGG
rnacentral:misc_RNA from 1 species